AAUUAAAGCUUAAAAAUUGUUCCUCAUGAUACAUGUGUACGAAUAUUCAUGCGUUAAAAAAAGUCAAUGUUAUUUCUACACCACGUUUACCAUUUCUAAAGCUAUUAUUAUAUUAUAUGAUAUUAUAAAUUCUGCCUGACUUCUACGUGCUUUAAUGGGUGCGCGCGCUGAACCGGAGUGGAGGAAGUCACCAUGGAAACGGAGCGGCAGUUCAACUGUCAGCAGCAACUCCCGUCUCUCACUGUUUUUUUUCACUAAUUUCAGAAGCGAAAAAAAAGCAACAACUCUACGACACAGGAGAAGUUCCUGAUUUAAACAUUUCUGAAGGGAGCUGCUGACAGAGAUAGAAAACACAGAUUCUUCCAUGCUGAUGGCCAUGCACUAGAGUUGGAGCGUAUCUCCUGUCGAAGAACAUCUCUAGACAUUAUGAACCAUAUGACUAGUAAGUAAUACCUCAAACAUACACUACCUAAAGUUUAAGGGUCAGAUUUGUCAUGUGUUUGAAAGAAGUCUUUUAUGCUCACCACUGC